GACCUGUUAGGCCAGAUGAUAGCCCACCCGUUAGAAAUUUCCGUAUCACAACUAGCCUAUGUGGGAGGCCCCAGUUCGACUCUGGGACAAGUCA